CAACCUGAGAGUUUGAUCCUGGCUCAGAGCGAACGCUGGCGGCAGGCCUAAUACAUGCAAGUCGAGCGAGCCCUUCGGGGCUAGCGGCGGACGGGUGAGUAACGCGUGGGAACGUGCCCUUUGGUACGGAACAACUGAGGGAAACUUCAGCUAAUACCGUAUGUGCCCUUCGGGGGAAAGAUUUAUCGCCAUUGGAGCGGCCCGCGUUGGAUUAGGUAGUUGGUGAGGUAAAGGCUCACCAAGCCUACGAUCCAUAGCUGGUCUGAGAGGAUGACCAGCCACACUGGGACUGAGACACGGCCCAGACUCCUACGGGAGGCAGCAGUAGGGAAUCUUGCGCAAUGGGCGAAAGCCUGACGCAGCCAUGCCGCGUGAAUGAUGAAGGUCUUAGGAUUGUAAAAUUCUUUCACCGGGGA
rnacentral:rRNA from 1 species